CUAAAUCUCAUCUGAAAAAAAAUCCUAUCACAGCGGAAGUAGUUGUACCUUGGUGAAGAGACGCGGUGUAUAGAUGUCGAGCAUGGAAAAGCUUCUUUCUUUUUGGGGCAGUACCCUUUUUGUUUUUUGGUGAAUUGUUUUUUCUGCAUCGUUUCGUGAUUUAUUCACUCUUCAAUUUUGGCUUUUCAGUAACGCAUGUGUAAGAUGUGUGGGCAAGCUUGAUCAAGUUUACCCUGAAUAUGCAGUGAGCAAGUUGAAAAGGGAUUGAGGAAAACAGAGAAAUUUAGGCCAAAUUCAUAGAAAAUGAUAACUAUGGAAAUUCUACUAAAGAAAUUGUUGGAGUCUCUGAAAACUCCUUACAAAGAUUAACCUACCCAAAACUGGGGCUAGAGGCCUUGCUCCAUCUGUCAUGGUGAUUGGAUCAGGCAUGUCAGGGUUACAAAAGAGUUCCAUUACACUUUGUUGGAUGCGAGGUUGUUCAAUGCUUGAGCGGAUGGUUGUGUUUUGCUUUCAGAGUGUAGGCAGACUACUUUUAAUGCAAUCAGACUCCAAAUUAAGAUAUGUAAUAUAUUGAUGCGAGCUGGGAAACUCCACUGGUGCUUCCUCUUUUUGAUUGGUUGUCAAGCGAGGAGGUUAAGUUAGCUGAGGCUUCAAAGCUUCGGAAGACAUUGGGUUCCACGAGAUCGGAGCUGAAAGCUUCUAAAUCAACAACCUUGACUGAGUGCAAUAAAAAUUUGUUUCUUCAAAGUCAGCUGGAAACAUCUACGAAGGAAAAAUCAUCUUUAUAUUGCAGAUUUACUGAAUUAUAAAAGUUAUGCAAGAAGCAUUCACGUUUGAAGUAGGGAUUGUGUCUGAGUUGUCAGAUGAUUGGUUAUCCACCAGAAAUAAUUGGGGCAUCUUGAAUGACGGUGGUGAAGGAAUGAAAAAGGUUUGCAUCAUACUUCGCCCUCAUCUUGCUAAUCUCUUCUUCGAUGUUCUAAGCAUUCAAUAAUUAUUAUUUCAAGCCUAUUUUUUGAGUGCUUUAGAUGUCACUUAUAAAGGAAGAAUCAUAUAUCGAAGAUAUAUAUUCGGAAAAAAAUCUGUUUCAAAUCUUACAAGGAAGAAGAUGUUGAAGAUGCAGCAUCAGAGCUUGGUAUACUCUCAUGCUUGAGUCAACAAUAUUCUUAUGAAUUUAAUUUCCCUAAUAAACAAGUGGGAGGAUGGACUCAACAGUACAAGGCUCUCAUUUUUGUCUCUGGGAGAGAAGCUGGACUUGACAUUCCAGUGUGUAAACAUAAGGUUUAUGAAAUGAUUGAACUGAUCUAUAGUUUAAAACUGUUAACAGGUAGCUCGAUAUGUUUUUAGUGCUUUCUCAUUUCUUGAUAAUUUACAAACAAUUACGGAGGUUGCUCUUGGUAACGUUCCCACAUACUUUCUGACAUGGAUUCAAAUGACACUUUAUGUUGUAUAAAUAGACAAGAACAAU